rnacentral:rRNA from 1 species
UACGUAGGCGGUUUUGUAAGCCCGGCGUGAAAUACUGGAGCUCAACUCCAGAACUGCGUUGGGAACUGUAAGACUUGAGUCAUGGAAGGGGAGUUGGAAUUCCAGGUGUAGGGGUGAAAUCUGUAGAUAUCUGGAAGAACACCGGUGGCGAAGGCGAACUCCUGGCCAAUGACUGACGCUGAGGUACGAAAGUGCGGGGAGCAAACAGGAUUAGAUACCCUGGUAGUCCGCACAGUAAACGAUGUGCACUAGGUGUUGGGCCGAGCGGUUCAGUGCCGAAGCUAACGUGAUAAGUGCACCGCCUGGGGAGUAUGCCCGCAAGGGUGAA